rnacentral:snRNA from 1 species
GAGACCGUUUCUUGGUUC